UUAGGUGGACAGCAGGACUGUGUUGCCUUGUUUAAGGGUUACUGGUAUGAUGUCAACUGUGAUGGUUUAUUUUUUUCCAUAUGCGAGGGAGGAAACCCAAAUGAAAGAUACACUCUCAUAAACGAGGUCACGAAUUGGAAUGGUGCUCAGAAGUACUGCAGGUCAAAACACACGAACCUACUAAGAGUGAGGAACCAGAAUGAGAACAACAAGAUUAGUCAGAUUGCAAAGAAUAAAUGGGUGUGGAUCGGCCUGUUCAAAGGAUGGAAAUGGUCUGACCAAACUAACUCCGUAUUCACAUUCUGGAGACCAGGUAUACCUGAUAACUAUGGAGGGAACAAGGACUGCGCUGUAACAUGGCGAAAGGACGAAGGGAAAUGGGGAGACAGGAACUGUACUGAGAAACAUCUGUUCUUUUGCUACGAGAACAAGCUGGCCCUGAUCAGAGAGAAUAAGACCUGGAUGGAGGCAUUCAACUACUGUGAAAGUAAUGACAUGG